AGAGUUUGAUUCUGGCUCAGAACGAACGCUGGCGGCGUGGAUAAGACAUGCAAGUCGAACGAGAGAAUUGCUAGCUUGCUAAUAAUUCUCUAGUGGCGCACGGGUGAGUAACGCGUGAGUAACCUGCCCCCAAGAGUGGGAUAGCCCCGGGAAACUGGGAUUAAUACCGCAUAAAAUCGCAAGAUUAAAGCAGCAAUGCGCUUGGGGAUGGGCUCGCGUCCUAUUAGUUAGUUGGUGAGGUAACGGCUCACCAAGGCGAUGACGGGUAGCCGGUCUGAGAGGAUGUCCGGCCACACUGGAACUGAGACACGGUCCAGACACCUACGGGUGGCAGCAGUCGAGAAUCAUUCACAAUGGGGGAAACCCUGAUGGUGCGACGCCGCGUGGGGGAAUGAAGGUCUUCGGAUUGUAAACCCCUGUCAUGUGGGAGCAAAUUAAAAAGAUAGUACCACAAGAGGAAGAGACGGCUAACUCUGUGCCAGCAGCCGCGGUAAUACAGAGGUCUCAAGCGUUGUUCGGAAUCACUGGGCGUAAAGCGUGCGUAGGCGGUUUCGUAAGUCGUGUGUGAAAGGCGGGGGCUCAACCCCCGGACUGCACAUGAUACUGCGAGACUAGAGUAAUGGAGGGGGAACCGGAAUUCUCGGUGUAGCAGUGAAAUGCGUAGAUAUCGAGAGGAACACUCGUGGCGAAGGCGGGUUCCUGGACAUUAACUGACGCUGAGGCACGAAGGCCAGGGGAGCGAAAGGGAUUAGAUACCCCUGUAGUCCUGGCAGUAAACGGUGCACGCUUGGUGUGCGGGGAAUCGACCCCCUGCGUGCCGGAGCUAACGCGUUAAGCGUGCCGCCUGGGGAGUACGGUCGCAAGAUUAAAACUCAAAGAAAUUGACGGGGACCCGCACAAGCGGUGGAGUAUGUGGUUUAAUUCGAUGCAACGCGAAGAACCUUA
rnacentral:rRNA from 1 species